rnacentral:rRNA from 1 species
ACUAAUACCCCCAUAGUAUUGAUUUCAGGCAUCUGUUAUCAAUUAAGAAUUUCGGAAACGGAUAGGCUCGCGUGACAUUAGCUAGAUGCGGGUAACGGCCACCAUGGCAACGAUGUCUAGGGGUUCUGAGAGGAAGGUCCCCCACACUGGAACCGAGACACGGUCCAGACUCCUACGGGAGGCAGCAGUGAGGAAUAUUGGUCAAUGGUCUGACGACUGAACCAGCCAUGCCGCGUGAAGGUGACGGCCCUAUGGGUCUUAAACUUCUUUUGUAAGGGAGCAAUAAGUUACUACGUGUAGGAUGAUGAGAGUACCUUACGAAUAAGCAUCGGCUAACUCCGUG